rnacentral:tRNA from 1 species
GUGGGAUACUGAUGGAAGGAAAGAGUGAAAAUGGUGGUGUGCGUAAAAUA